GGCACGAUUGCAAAACAGAUUCAAGUCCAAGGAUUAGUUUGUAAAACGCGCCGAAAAACGGGGGUCCAAUUACAAUUUAUCCAGGGGCUUGAUUACACGAUUUCAGAACUUAAGUGACUAGAUUGAAAAUGGCCAUUCCCAUCACACAAACGGCGCCGUUUCUAGAAAUCAGCCGUCGCCUUCUUCGUCUCCUUCCACAGGAACGGUUUCUGCAGUAAUGGCUUUGAAGCCGUUUCAAUUGUAGAGAUGCUUGGUAUUCUCUGGCUAUAAAUCCGGAGAACAUGAGAGAGCGCGGUGAGGAGGAGAAAAAAAGAGGAAUCACAGAGAACGAAAAAGGGGGGGAAUUGGACUGAAAAGAAAAAAAACCGGGGACUGAAAGGGGAAGAAAACGAAACAUAAACAGAGGAAGAAAAACUGGAAAAGGAGAAGAACGAAAAACACCGAGGAGCAGAAAAACAGAAACCCAGAAAACAGAGGAAAAAAGCCAUGAACGGGAGAGAAGGAAAAACUGGGGAGAAGCAAUAAAAAAAAAAAAAAAAAAAAACAGAGCAAACACAGUAGAGAG
rnacentral:lncRNA from 1 species